AGCAGGGUGGCGCAGUCGAAAAAACCCAAGAAAUGAACUUUAAAGUAUGUCAGCCAUUUUUACCUAAUCUAACCCAUAUCGGAAACUUUACUUCGUACAAUCAGUAUGGAAAAUAAAAUCCUAUACGACCACACUUAGCUCCCUUUUUUUCACUGAAGCAACAUUCUGGAAGCCAAUUCGCCGCACGAAGGUCCUUAAAACGUAUUUUCGUUGUCCAAAAGAUAAACUUCAAUAUCCAGAGAGUGAAUUUAUUGGUUAGACAAAAAUUCUAGCUGCAAGUUGUGUGUAUAUGUGUAUUUCCUGUCCAGACAUUCAGCAGACACGAAAUGUUAAUUUAUCUCUAAUUGGCUUAAGAACAUAAGUUUUCAGGUGUAAUGGGAUUUUGAAAGCACAUCACUCAUGCAAUUGGAUCUAGAAGAAAUACAAAACAUGAGUGGACGUCAGUUAUUGUGUUUGGAUAGGG